rnacentral:rRNA from 1 species
UACGUAGGGUACGAGCGUUGUCCGGAAUUAUUGGGCGUAAAGAGCUUGUAGGCGGUUUGUCGCGUCUGCCGUGAAAAUCCGGGGCUCAACCCCGGACUUGCGGUGGGUACGGGCAGACUAGAGUGUGGUAGGGGAGACUGGAAUUCCUGGUGUAGCGGUGAAAUGCGCAGAUAUCAGGAGGAACACCGAUGGCGAAGGCAGGUCUCUGGGCCACUACUGACGCUGAGAAGCGAAAGCGUGGGGAGCGAACAGG